UAACGAGAUUCCUUCUGUCCCUACGCACGGUCUAGCGAAUUCACAGCCAAGGGAACGGGCUUGGAUGUGUCAGCGGGGAAAGAAGACCCUGUUGAGCUUGACUCUAGUUCGACUGUGUGAAACGACCUCGGAGAUGUAGAAUAAGUGGGAGCAUUGUCAUCUUUGAAAUACCACUACUCCAAGCGUUGUUUCACUUACUUGAUUAGACCAUAUUUGAUGACGAAUCAUUUUUUGUAUCAUCUCUGGCAUCCGCCGGAGUUGUGGUGUGAAGCACACAGUCAGGUAGGGAGUUUGGCUGGGGCGGCACAUCUGUUAAA
rnacentral:rRNA from 1 species